UCCAGUAGGUAGCGUGGCAAAAGAAAGUAGUGUGUAGGAGUUCCAGUAGGUAGCGUGGCAAAAGAAAGUAGUGUGUAGGAGUUCCAGUAGGUAGCGUGGCAAAAGAAAGUAGUGUGUAGGAGUUCCAGUAGGUAGCAUGGCAAAAGAAAGUAGUGUGUAGGAGUUCCAGUAGGUAGCGUGGCAAAAGAAAGUAGUGUGUAGGAGUUCCAGUAGGUAGCGUGGCAAAAGAGAGUAAUGAACUGCUGAAAACACUAUCUAGAUUUAGAUGAACUACCACAAAGCUACUCAAAAAUGUAGGUUAUUACUAGUUGAACCACAUGUAACUCACAAUUACACAACACUGAUUAUUGAUAUCAAUAAGUACAUUUCAAGUGUUAUGGAUGCCUUUACAUGUUGAUGGAGUACCUGUACAGUGAUUACCUCAACUCUCUGAACCCUCGCCAUACUCUCUGUGUUGGCAGCAUUGGCCCCCAGAGUCACUAAAUACUAUAGGCCAUUUAAGCAGACACUUUUUUCAAAAGUUACUUUACAGUCAUGCGUGCAGACGUAUGGGUGCCCUGGAAAUUGAACCCACAACCCUGGCGGUGCAAGCACCACUCUCUACCAAGUGAGCCACACAGGACCACAAAUGUGAAAUUGGAGCUCCAUGCAAAUGACCUGUGCUGAAUAAGAAAUGCCUCAUUUUCCCUCUUGCUUUUUGGACACAAACGAGUGUCAUUCUUUUGUGGGUGUGUUUUUCUAGAUGGAUGGAACAAGGUUGUGCAUGUGCAGUCGGAAACAGCAAGUGAGAGAGAGUGUGGGGAUACUGUUAAGGAAGUACAACAUUGGGUCAAGGGUAGCAGCUCUGUGGAGGAGAGAGAUUGGUGUGAAUCACAUCUGUGUUGUCUUUUCAUGAACUGAAAUUCUUGUGUCCUCUAAUAGUUAAUAGUCAAAUCCACUUAAGAUCAGAUCAAAAAGUAAGAUAAAAAACUAAUAGCCCACUCGUCUUUGAACCAAUUCAUUUGUUGGUACGUGUUAGUUCCCUUGUUGGUACUUGUUAGUUCCCUUGUUGGUUGUUGAUGGUUAAUUUGAAUGUUGAAUGGAUUCUAAUAUGGACUCUGAAAGUCAGUCACCCAGACUUGGGUUUGUCUACUUAGCCCAGCUUGAAAUUAGCAUUUGAGGAACUGAAAAUGGUUAUGUCAUUUUCUAAAUAUCCAUUUACAGAUUGAUGGAGUAAUUUGGAUGAAUGUUGCAUUUAAAAUUGAGAACUUGAUAUAACAAAUUAAUUAUCAAAUUAAAUAGAUUUUGUCACAUGCUUUGUAAGCAACAGGUGUAAACUAACAGUGCAACGCUUGCUUAGAGGCCCUUCCCAACAAUACAGAGUGAAAUAAUAGAAAAAUAUCACAAGGAAUUAAUAAAAAUUGAGUAACGAUAACUUGGCUCUAUACACAGGAUACCAGUACCGAGUCAAUGUGCAAUGGUACGAGGUAAAUGAGGUAGAUAUGUACAUAUAGGUAGGGAUAAAGUGACUAGGCAACAGGAUAGAUAAUAAACAGUAGCAGCAGCAUAUGUGAUGAGUACAAUGAGUUAGUGCAAAAAGGGUUCAAUGCAGAUAGUCCGGGAAGCUUAUUGGUUAACUAUUUAACCAACUAUUUAGCAGUCUUAUGGCUUGUGGGUAGAAGCUGUUUUGGGUCCUGUUGGUUCCAGACGGUACUACUUGUUGUGCGGUUGUAGAGGGAACAGUCUAUGAUUUGGGUAGCUGGAAAAUCAACCAUUUUUUAGGGCCUUCCUCUGACACUUCCUGGUAUAGAGGUCCUGGAUGGCAGGGAGUUCAGCCUCUGUGGUGUACUAAGCCCUACCCUCUGUAGCGCCUUGCGAUCGGAUGCCAAGCAGUUUCCAUACCAAGCGGUGAUGCAGCCAGUCAAGAUGCUCUCGAUGGUGCAGGUGUAGAACUUUUUGAGGAAUCUUUUCAGCCUCCUGAGAGGGAAGAGGCGUUGUCGUGCUUUCUUCACGACUGUGUUGAUGUGUGUGUACCAUGUUCAUUCCUUACUGAUGUGGACACCGAGGAACUUGAAGUUCUCCACCCGCUCCACUACAGCCACGUCGAUGUGGAUGGAGGCAUGUUCGACCCUUUGCUUCCUGUAGUCCACGAUCAGCUCCUUCAUCUUGCGUUGAGGGAGAGGUUGUUGUCGUGGCACCACACUGACAGGUCACUGACCUCCUCCCUUUAGGCUCUCAUCGUAUUCGGUUAUCAGGCUUACCACCGCUGUGUAGUCAGCAAACCUACUGAUGAUGUUGGAGUCGUGCACGGCCACGCAGUCGUGGGUGAACAGAGAGUACAGGAGGGGACUAAGCACGCACCCCUGAGGUGCCAUUUGUUGACGGUCAGCGUGACGAAUGUGUUGCUGCCUACCCUCACCAUCUGGGAGCGGCCCGUCAGUUAUCCCAGACAUAACAAAAAUAAACAUGACAUUUACUUGGGCCAAAUUGAGAUAAAAAACGAACUUACCAGAAAAUUCAGAUACAAAAAACUAUUUAAAUCCAAUACAUAAAAAUGGUGUCAACAUGACUAUUUGUUAUACAUGAUUGUGAGUCAUAAUCAAUAUUUCCAUGGUUGUUGUUGAGUUUUAUGGUAUAUUUUACAUGUGCUAUAUUUAUAUCUACUGCUUUGGAACAGACAAGGGUCCACCUUUAUUUGUACAUAUUAUGGAUAAAUUGAUAUAAAGACAAUAUUUAUGAAUAAGUCUAUUACAGAACAGUGGAAUAUUUUGACCUCUGUACAAAAUAUACUCCAGAAUGAUCAGUUGUUUUUCAAAAGUACAUUUUAUUGAAAACAAAUCUCAUAUAUAUAUAUAUAUAAAUUUUUUUUUUUUCAUGAUGUGAAAAGUAUCAAUGGUUGCUGUGUGUUAAACGUCAUUUUGAUUCAGAUCUUUUUAUAAAAGGGCGCUCCAUUCUGUGAAAAGAGCCAUGCUACUUUAUUCAUUUGGUGGGCGCUCCCACUCGUUCUCCUGUAUGUGAAAAGCAUAACAGCCGAGCAGCAGAGCAGAAGUAAGAUGUGUUUUGUUAGUUGUCUGAAACCCUGGGGACCGGAACCACAUACGCUCCCCAUACUAUACCCUUGGUGGAGAAAAAUAAACCCAUUUGUUUCUGAAAAACAUUAAACAAAUAUGAGAUAGAUAAACAGA